rnacentral:lncRNA from 1 species
CCCCCUCGGUUCUCCAUUAGGAGCGCAAACAGCAAGCGGGUUUGGGGCAAGAGGUAAGGAGGACCUGGAGAGCGGACAGAGGCUCCCCUGGAGCUCCGUGCCCUUCUUGGAGGAGUGCUAUGGCCUCUUCCCCGGCCUGGAGGCGGCGCUUACGGGGAUUCACAAGUUUCUGUGCAGGGCGUAUUCUCUAGAAGGGCUUUGGAAUUAAGAAGACGAAAGCGCGCGGGGGUUCAUCUCUUUAGGUAACCCUGCCUGACUUGAAACUUGAGGUACUCCUGCAACAUCCUGCAUGCUGGAAUUGCAAGCAUGAGCCACGUGUUUCCAUGGGAGAUCAUCUGAAGGAACAAGGCAGAGCAAUAGAGGAAGACACCCAAUAUCUUCUGUCCUACGCAUGUGUGUAUACAGGCUAGGAAUGGGUCAAAUGAUAGCGCUUCUCCUGGUCUUUGGAGUCCUUCAGUCUUCUGACCACAGGCUUGACUAUGACAGCAGAAGUGGCAUUGUAGAUCCAGGCCUCUCCACGUAGUGUUUCCUUCCAUUCAGGAACCACAGUGCCAGUGCCAGUGCCAGCGCCCAUCUUUUCAUCUUGCUUUUGCCUCAGGAGAAACAAGAAUGCUUGACGUGCUGGCUGCUUUCAAUCUGCCAUUUUCUGGAGGAAGAUACCAUAACUGGUCCCACUUAAAAAAAAAAAAAACACACACAAUUUAUUUUCUUUCAUUUACCCAGCCCAUGCUUCCUGAGAUGGGCCCCGGUCCGCCCUGCCCUCUUGCACUCCUGAGCAGCACUUGGGUCUGGGAUGGACAGAUCACUGAGGCAGGUGGUUUGGGAGUUCAACAUCAUGGACCCAGCUUUCGGGAACAGAGUGGUGCUCUCCACCGGAGUCCCAGAGGGGUUCUGACAAGCUGCUGUUAUCCACAUCAGGAUCUUGCAUCUUAGAGGCGGAUUGUCUGACUGAGUGCAAAGGGCAGAAGGCACAGCAGACUUGCAUGCUGAAUUGAUGUGCAGACACUUACAGCUGUACCAGCUGAGCCUACAUGAACAGUCCUGGCCUCCAUCUUCUCCCUCAGUGCACAUAGAAUAGACUCGAUAACUCCAGGCCUGUUGGAUACCACCCUUUGGAUAUCAUUAUCUGAGAUACACAAGUGCAGCUUGCGAAAGACUUUCCUGCAAAGAAGGUAGGAGCACAUUCUCAAAGCAGUACCAUCAAGGACUGGGAGUUGAGCCCUCCCUGAAGUUCUAUGCUCCCUGCAAUGCCUUCCAGCCACUGGGCAGCAUCUUGCUUUCUCAGAGAGCCCCUUUGUGCCCUGCACUUGAGUGGCGCAUGGCUAUCUCAUUCUUGGCCUUUGGAGCUAUGUCUCAGGAGAUCGCAGAACAUGGGGUGCUCUAUCAGGCCAUGUUCUCUGCAUUCAUUCUCAUCUCUCUACUGGCUUGCCCUCGGUAAAUCCUGUUGAGACAGCUCAACAGUACCUGGAAACCUGCAGCUGGGCCCUCUCAGCAUGAUCAUCUCCCUUGAGGUCUCUUUUCAUCUCUUCCCUCUCAAACAUAAGCCCAUGAGAUUAGACCCAGGCCUGAGCCCAGCAAUGUUUCUAUUCCAAUCUGAGCCAGUCUUUUGGGGGUGCCCACACAGGUUCUCCACCUUGCUCUGCUCAGACACUUCCCGAGGGCCCUCUGUGAUUGGACUACAUCAGACAUAUCUGCCCGACUCUGUCCUUGAGAUCACUUAUUAUACACAGGCAGAGUCUUGUCUGAGGACAUUUGGGGAGGUGAAGUAAAACUCUACUGAUCCGUAAGGGAGCAGGCUAGCUGAUAGGCUGCCCUAGCACCCCCAGGAGUGGUACUAGGGGUACUAGUGCCCUAGUACCCCUGGUUGUGGUACUCUUCUAUAGGCAAGGACCCACAGUUAGGCAGUCAGAGACCCAUGGCUGGAGAGAGCAUCCCGGGGUCAACCUAGGUGGGCUGAGCUCCCAGGCCUUGCCUGUUGAGAAGGCUCCAGUUGCUCAGCUUCUGGUCUGUACUGCAGGCUGGGACGUAGCUGUGCAAGUCCACCAGCCGAGGGCGGAAGUGCUUCACAAUCUCGGCCACCAGCACUGUGGGAAUGCGAGGGGAACUUGGCUUGCCUGGUCAAGACCCUGGGUUGCAACUGUAAUCCCUGACCACAUGAGAUGCAUGGAAUGGAGUGGGAAGGACACGAGCUUUUCCUGGGGAGCCCAUAAUUGUCCCCGAGUCUGGCACGGCACCUAGACUCCAGGUCAGACCAAGUGGUAGGAUGGCCUGGGAAGCUAAUACAGCGUGAGAGCCCAGGGGGAGCUGGAAGAGCCACAGGAGGCCCUGUUUGCUACUACCUUUCCUAAGGAGCACGAGUCUGGACUCAAGAACCGCUCCGUUCCCCCAACACCCACACCCGUACUAGGGGGCUGGAGGCAAGGGUGGCCCUCAGCUUUGAGUCCUCUUCAUCAUCCGCCCCAUAGCGCCUCGCCCUCACUCGCACCACCAUCACUGAAGUCCCGAGCCAAGUGGCGCUUGGGGCGGCUGAGUGGGAGCCGGUCCAGCCAGGCGCAGAGGUUAUGAAUAUCCCCAGGCGUUGGCAGGAACGAAGCUGAGCUCGGCUUGGAAGCACUGAGCAUGGCAGAGAAGUGGGUGUGCAGCAGAGAAACACAGCGGAAGAAACCUGGCGGGUUUGGACCGUUGCUGGGAGACGCGGCACAGCCGGAAGGGGCGGGGCCCUAACCGCGCUGGUCCCUCCCUCGAUCCCAGGAAGGAUUGGUCCUCCUGCACGCCCAGAGAUCGGGCUGAAUCAAGGUGGAUGGUUAAAAAACGAAGGGAGAUGGUAGGUGAAAUUGUUUGAUCUGGUGUAAUAAAAACAAACUGCCAUGUAGAAUGUGAUCUAUAAUCUAUUGAUAAAAUAGAAUCUUUAUUAGUG